UCUCCGUAGGUGAACCUGCGGAGGGAUCAUUACCGAGUGAGGGUCCUUGUGGCCCGACCUCCAACCCCCUGUCUUCCGACUCUGUUGCCUCGGGGGCGACCCUGCCUUUCGGCGCGGCGCCCCCGGAGGCUCAUCAAACACUGCAUCUUUGCGUCGGAGUCUUAAUGAAUUUAAACAAAACUUUUAACAACGGAUCUCUUGGUUCUGGCAUCGAUGAAGAACGCAGC
rnacentral:misc_RNA from 1 species